rnacentral:lncRNA from 1 species
UUUGUUUUAUCAAGUUCAAUCCAUCAGCAGUCUCUGAGAGUAGAUUGUAACCGAGAGAGGGUUGUUUGUAUGAAAUUACAAACUCUGGCUCAUAUUAUGUGCUUGACUCAUGCCUAAACUUGCCCAAGAUAAGCCUAUUAAAUAACAUUCCAGACAGCAGCUCUGCCCAAGGGAGACACUUGUCACUCCCUUGGAGGACUACCAGUGGGACACAAGUCGGCCGCCCUGAGCUACCCUCAGCUGUCCAGAUGCCUCCUGUGGAAAAUGGUCUCCGAGUAACAGAAAUGCGGAGCAGGCCAUCCCCAUUUCUUCAUGUCUUGGCACGUAUCAGCUGCAAGAGUGAUUCACCUUUUGAUGAAUUUCUGUCUCAGCAAAACAACCAAGGGAAGAGAAAGAAGCAAUUUCAUAUUUAUAUUGGAUUGUGCUUAUACAGGAUGGUUGAAUUCUGCCUUGACAUGGGUGUAAAGCUUUGCCUGUGAACACUGGAGACUCAGUUUCAUGUGAAGGAAUUUUGCCAUUAAUUUUUGUCUUGCACAAGGAUAUGUCUAUUUUAUGGCUACAGAAAGAGAAAGAUGAGAGUUAUUAAUUUCAGUGAAAUCUCAAUUACAGCAGCUACAAAUCUGCUUUAAAUACAUAGCUGAUGCUCUUUCAAAAGCCAUGACUGGGACCUGUCAUAAUUCUGAAUAAUCAUGCUGCCUUUAUAGGGAUAUAUGCAAAUAUUUAUGUGUUAAUUUUUCCAACAUACACACUUGCAAACAAGAUAUGUUGCAUUUCCUUUUUUAAAAACAGCCUGUGUGUAAACUAGCCUGUGCUGAUAUAACCCACUCAUUUUUCUUGGAUAAGCUGGACAUAUUUAGCAAAUGGAUCACAAGUGUGAGUAAGAAGCAAGGCUUGCAAAAUUUCAGAAAGGAUCAGUGGUUCACAGUGGAUGUUUGCACAAAGGCAAGCACAGUCACAAACUGGCAUCCUCCCAAAGUUAUCUGUGUGGAGUCAGUAGGAAGUUCAACAAGCCUGGAUUACACAGGUGAUAAAUGAAUGAUACUUUGAUGUCUCAUGGAUUCUGCUGGGUAGAGCAGAAGAGGCAUAGCACUGUACUUGAUGAACACCCACCACUUCUGCUAUCUCUUGAGUCUCUACCAGUUCUGCAUCCACAUCUUCCGGAUCUCUUGCAUCUUGCACCAAGCUCCCCCAGAAAGGACUGCUUUGUUACCUACUUUUCUCUUGGAAAUGGUAUUGCAGUUCUUAAAACGAAGAGGCAGCUUUGUGCAGCCAGCCACUACAUUGUUUUUACGCACUGCUUAAAUCUCACUAAUACUGUCACAAGGCUUAAGGGACAUUUCAAUCACACACAGACUUCUGUCAGCUUUCCACAGACGUGUGGAUUUCAAGAGAGAAAACAUCUGUAUUUGGAAAGACAGACGUCUCAUUAUAUGUCCUAUCUAGUAAUUAUGUUCUGUUCUAGAUCUUCUGUGGUUCCUGUGCAUCCAGGUGCCAAACUCAGCAGUGAAAGCCAGUAUAGGCAUGCCAGGACUCAAUUUGGGCUAUAGCUUUAAAAGCCAUAUAUGAGGACAUUCCAAGGCACAGACAAGGCUUCCAUCACUGGCGCAUGCAGAAACACUACACUGUUUUAUAAACAGGUGUUUCUUUUUAUACAUAAUACUGUAAAGGCCAUUUUAUCUGCCCAAUAAAAGUUUACAAGACAAUUCCAUUAUACGUUAUAUCAUACAAUAGCAUCACGUAUUUCUGCAGGAUUCUUAUAUCAUGGAUGGAAACUCAAGUGUUUCCUAUAGAAGCUUUUGAGAGCAUUUCUGUUUAGAGAUAUGUUCCUCCUUGUGAAUUUGCAGAUGCAGGUCCAGGAGAAAGAGAGCAAUUUUCUCUUCCCCAACUUGAGCAGUAUUGGACUGUCCUCAUCAGGAAAUGAAAAUGUUCCAAUUGCAUCUGUAUCUCUAGCUGCUCUCUGCACCACAAUCCUUCAGAAACACAAAUCCUCCUAGUGAUCACGAGCAAUACAUUUUGCAUUUGGACCUCGGACUUGGCUGACACUUUUUAAAAAAUAUUAUAUACAUUUUCAGUCAGACAACACCCUGGAGACUAUUACACAUCUGCAGAUGCUGAAGGGCACAAAUUAUUCCUGCUAAGGUCAACAUUACCUUACACUAAAAAAUUGUCUUCCUGAUCAUGGCUUGUACACUGUGAACAAGUGAUGAAUUUUUAUGAUUUCACCACCACCACUUGGUCAUAAUAUGUACCCCUUGGGGAGGAGAAGUGAGGAGGUGGAAAGAGGUCCCAGACCACAUAUAGACACCUAAAAAUCUGCCCUGUUUUGUUUCAUAAAAUCCCACUGAGCCAGAGGAGCCAAAAUUUCACUUGGAAGCUGUUACCAGACUUAAUCACAGUCAAUGUAAGUGAGCCACAAAAUGAAACUCAUGAAAGGAAUGGAAGGAUGUGUUCAGACAGUCCAGAUUUCAGCUCAUGUUCAAAGUCUACUGUUUCCUACCAGCAAGCCAGUUUGGAAGACGCGGAGCCAAGAACAGAUCUGACACCUAAGUGGAAGUUAGUUAGGCAAUUUUAAUAUUGCCCAGAGCUGCUUAGCAGUAAGUGAAAUUCCCCCAGCUGAACCUGUGAGAAGGAUAGACCUUCUAUUCCUUGAAGCAAAACGCUGCCUUAAAAUAUGAUUGAAUUCAGAUGUGGUAUGAAAGACAGAAAAUUUAGAAGUUCCCCAUGACUUUUCUUUAAGCAACUGAAAUAUUAUAUUCACCUACACUGAAAAAUUUCAGCUUGGUCAUUGCAAUACUUAAAGCAGCAUAAAUUUUAAAGAACUCUGCUUCAGAAAUGAAAGCUUAUGCGUUGCAAGCUUUGCAAGAGUCCCAUUCUACUUUUUCCUUCUGAUCUAUAUUCUCAUUAAAAAUGAUACCAUUGCAUGAAAUAUUCUCAUUUCAACUGAAGUGUAUUUUGCAACAAGAAAAAUAGGUCCCUCAAAAAUGUUCUUAUUACCUUUACCCACUUACUAGUGCAUUUCCUUCUUUCUCCAACAGAAGAGGGGUGAACAAAGGAUCGGCUGUUGUUUAAUACUGUAUUACAAGCAUUCAAAAUGCUGAAAUACCAGAAUGCAGGAGACUUAGAGAGGAGCUGGAUUCAGAGGCUGCAGGCAAGAACUUUCUCCUGUUUUGUUAGGGCAGGCAGCAUGUAGAGUCUGGCCCUAAUCAGAUUAGGUUGUGCAUAUUUAUAAACAUCUGAAGACCAUAAAGAAAGGCUCCCAAUUAAAAGAUACUCUGGAUUUACUUCUGCAAGAGUUGCAGAAAAACGUGGUGAUUAGCAUUUCCAUUAGAGACUGCUAUUUGGCACAAAGCAGGCUUGUAGAAAUGGGUCCUCUCUAAACAUCUUUUAUACCAGGGCAUAUCUGCAUUCUAUUCUGAUACAUUGAAAAAAUAUGCCACAUUUUAUCUGCGUGUAUGAAGUUACACUGUGCCAUGUCACCAAGUGGGAUGUAACCCCAUGUAAUAUAAUGCACAUUCGAACAAAACUCUCUUUUCCAUUAUGGGCAGGAGUAAAUUACAGAUAGAAGUUUACCAUAAUUAACCACAAACUGGCAAGAAGGCCUGUUUUCUGUCUUUCUAGAUUACUAUCAAGUUAGCUAAGCUAUUCUCAAGCUUACUUUUAAAAAUAGUUAAGAAUACAAUAAAAGAUAUUUAAUAUGAAUCAUUCUGUGGACAAACAUGCUGCACAAACCAUCCCAUAUAAUUGGAAUAGAGAGUGAACCCGAGAUCCUGGUUAGGUGAGUCCUGUUUGGUGAACAGACUGUGCCGAGCUGUCGUUUCUCAUAAAAAAUGUUUAACUCCUUUUUUGUUUUGUAAAAUCUGUGCUGUUGCUACCCCUUAACAAUAACACUUCAGAACCCACAAGCAGCAGCUGUCUGCAAUGUGUCUCCUGCAGCUGAAAUCACUUCAUCGGUUAUUAUUCCAAAAGACUAAAUAAGGGCAGGCAUUUUCCUAAAAAAUUGAUUUUUAAGGGCUCGGUAUCAAUCGGUUCUUUCUGCCUUUGAUCCUCUGUAAUCAGAGUGCCCAAUAUUUAUAGAAUUCAAUAUGCAGUGCAUUUAAAGAUAUUCCAGACUUCCUUCUGCUCCCAUCAACCACCUAUUUGCUAAGGACAAUCAGCAACUUUUUAUUAACAGAAUGCUUUAUCAGCACGGAAGACAAGCUCGGGGCAGUGCCUCUGUGAGAUUCAGAAGAGGCAGAUCUAGAAAAGUAAGCACUCCCACUGGGCCAUCUGCGUUUCAGUAUUUGUGCAGCAACUCUGAUUAGCGGUACUUCAUUAAAGCACGGGCACUGAGCCUUCCCUGUGCACCAACCUCCACUAUCUCUUGUGGGUCCCAGCCCCACCGCCAGUGUCACAGUGGUUGCUUUAUGGCUGUCUGGGAGCAUCCAGGUCUGCCCAGGCACAGAGCCACCCAGAUGGCUGCUGCACAGCUAACCUGUGCAUGUCCUCAGCUUAGUUUUUGCCCGUGGAAGCAGAACAGACAGCUGAUACAUCUGCAGAUCAUACCCAUCCAUUUCUGGGUUCAAGCACUGGAGAAGCUCCAAUGAAUCCUUCUGUAAUACUUUUGGUGAGCAAGUGAGCAAUCAAUCAAAUCCUUUAAAGCUGCACCUUUCCAAACCCAUUCACAUUUUAUUUUCUCUGGUGUAGAGUGUACUUUUCAGCUUCUUUUACUCCCAGUGUCCUGGUGACAAUUGAUCCUUAUCUUUCUUUGGCAAAUGAGGUAAUCUCCAGCCACUAUAAAAUACUGCAUAUAUUAAUCAAAUACAAUCCAUCCCAUGAGCCUGAAGGAGCAUUUCACAAAAGACGCUGCAUCUGCACCGAUGUUUUACUUCCUUGGCUGUCCAUGGAUGCGUUCAAGUGGAGAGGGGAGGAACAUGGGUGUAAUUAUUGUCAGAACAGAGAGAAGAAUCCUACAGAUAAAAGGUCCUGCAGAAUUCUUUUUAGUCUUACUUGGAAAGGAAAAUAAAAAAAAAGAAAAGCUUUAAACUGUAGACUUUCCCAUUAUGGUUAUUACUGGAAUUACAGUAAUGCUACAGCAGGACACACCUAUAGGCAAGAAAUGUGUGUGAUCACAUUCAACACUUAGAGACUGUUGUUUUGAAGAGGGUGGGAAGACUUUGUGACCGUACACAGCAAAGCAAGGCUCUGUAAGCGCCCCGGAGGGUCUGCCUUUCCACUGCCGAGUCCUGCUGUAACACUGCUCCCCAUGUAAUUUGCACUCAGGUUAAUAAGAUAUGAUUUCAAGUCAUUUCCAGUCUGUAAUGAAGUUGGAAAAAGAACCUGAAAUGGUGCCACAAAGCUCCAGCAGUUUUGUGAACCUUAAACCCUAGCUCGCCAUGUCGUGGAACGCAACUCAGAAUGCGAUACGUGAAUCAAACUGAUAAUUCUUUGGGUCACUUUUGAUACUGGAAUUAAACAGUCACGGGCAUUAAAAUUUCUUACCAUUUUAAUACUGACUUGGAAAAAGGUUUGUGAAGCAUCCUCUAAGUAGAAAAUUUUGCUUACGUUACUCAAGCAUUUCUAAAAAUCCUGCUUUAUCAUUAUUAUUAUUAUUAUUUUUAAGGAAAAACAAAAAAUCCAUUGACCUUCUAGAAACUUCACAGAAAACCAGCAGAGAGCAGCUACCCACUCCAGCCUGCUAUCAGCAAAAGACCAAGAGCAUAACUCACUGUCCAUAAAUCUAACGCCUUUCCUGAGUUCCAUUUGAUCAGCAACAAAAACAGCUUCUGCCAAAGUUUUCAGCCCCAUGAAUGUCUCUAUCUAGUAUUGGUCAAAGCCCAUGCAUUCACAAACGUAACUCCCAUUUCUCUCAUAUUAAUUUGGAAUAUUAGGCCAAAGGAAGCCUAGUAACUUUUUUAGGGUUCUCAAAGCUGUGAGAGGAUGGGUUUGCCACAUGGCUGUUGUUCUUUGCAUUAGGUAUGAUUAUAUACUGGGCACAUUCCAUAAGCGUCUAAGUACCUGAGAGUAAAAACACAUUCAUCUGAUAAUAAAUCCUUCCAGAAGAGGCUACUUUUGAGAUUUAGAAGCAAAUUCUUAUGACUGAAUCAUCGUCAUUCAAUUGUUCUCUUUUAAAAAUAAUUUCAUUAAGUAAACAAUUAAGUACGAUUAUAUGGAUUUAGAAAGCUUUUACUCCAACUCACUCUUGCAGUGACAAGUUAUAGCAUAAGCCUUAACACCACUUCUGACAAGACUGUGCCUAGACAAACAGCCCAACCUGGUCAUGGCCACGAGCCCUCAGUCAGAGGGAUCUUCACCCAGAAAGCUGAAUGUUGCUCAGCGUAAUUGGUCUUGGUCAGACAAGGAUGAAAACAAACCAGUGGCAUAUUUGCUCAUCUAGAUGCUUAGUGGCAGGCCCAAUGGGAGCAGAAUCAAUGUAUGUGUUCUCAGGAACACAGAGGUAUCACACGUAUUGCAGUCUACGAGCCUCCUCCCAGUUGUCAGUUUGACCGCUAUGCAUUUCACCUCUCCCAUUCUGAAGAAAUGGCUAAAACUUAAUGCAAAGGCUUCUGUGGCUGCAUAAGUGCUUAAAGUGUUUUCAUAAAUGCUUCCAGACUGAAGGCUUCUUCUAUCCAACUUCAGCUGAAAGUUCUCUUUUCCAAACAAAUGCUCCACCUAACUUAAUUUCUGUAGUUUGUUUCCAGAGAAAGAAUAAAGAGGAAUGGCACAGGUGUGUAAGUCACUAAAGUAAUUUUGAGAGAAGUCCUCCAGUGGACAACCACUGCUUUCUCUCUCCUCUUUUUAUUUUAAUAUCAUUGUGUGUAAUCUUAAUAGCUGCGUUUACUACAAAUUCCAUGUGAGCUUUUUGGUCGUUCACUUUCUGAAAGCACAGCCCUGAAGUGCACACUGAGGUUGUUAGUUCUCACUGGCUUGGCUCGCUUGCCUAACAGCUCCUUGAAGUGAUUAACAUUUUCCAUCAUCAGAUCCUACAAGGAAAAAAAAAAAAAAAAAAAGAAAAGAAAGCCUUAAUGACACUAAAAAAUAUUAGGAGCCAGCUAUUUCAUAGUACUGACUUGCUAAGGCAUCAUUAUUGCUAGUGCUACUGUUGUCCUUAAAUGCUGCACUGCUGGUUAUCAUGGAGGACUUUGGGAAAAAGAGAGUAUGGUGCUGAGACUUAUUGCAUUAAGAGAUCGGUUUAACAGAUUGUUUAGUUUUGGUAAUAUAAUUUGACAUCUAAACAUAAGCUGAGAGGGAUCUCCCACAAAACCUUUGAUAAUAUGAUUCAUUGUCAAAUGUUUGUUUUGCCUAUCUGGUACUCAUUAAUUAAUUCUUUUUAAUAUAUCUUGGAUUUACUGAUUUGGAAAAAGAGAAUUAUUCUUAUUGAUGUUGCUAAAAUAUCCAGGUGGCUUGAAUUUCACCAACUAGAUGGUAUAAUCUAGCACAUUUGUGUAGACCUAAUCAAAUAUCUACUAACAGAUGUGAAGAGCCCAGCAUGGGAGCAAAUGUUUGUGUCUAUAUGAUAAUUAAAUUACCUCAAUAAAGAGAAUAAAUGAACAAUGAUG